UUGUUAUUAAUCUGCGGAUUUAAAUUUACAGACACUAGGGGGCAUCGAUUGAGACUGUAUGUCAAUGUCUUCCCAAAGAACUAAAAACAUGAUACUGCCUCGUGUACAAACGUUUUCAGCAGCGUCUUUAAUGUCAAAUUUUGAAAUGUUUGCAGUGAGCCAUUGAGCAACGAUUUGAUUCAUUUGUAAAGUGCAUUACAGAUUUAUAUAAAGAUUGUACUUGCUGGUGCUGCUUUAAAUGAUGCUUUAUAUUUAUAAAAAUGAAAUCUACUUUGUAUUAUAAUUUACUUUUUAGUUAGGCUAUAAUUUAUAAUUAUUCUAUUAUUAAUUAUGCAGUUAUUGAGUAAUUUUCUAGACUCCAAUUUUUUUUUUAUUUCUGCCAUAUUUGAACCGUCUCUUGCUUCCAUCCUCUGCAACUUCUGGUAUUCAUAUUUUACUGAGUGAGCUAAUUAGCAGCAAACUAAUCUUUUUAAAAACUGAAUACAGGGUUUCUGCAGGUCUUAAAAGGUCUUAGUUCACACUUACACAGUUUAAGGCCUUAAAAAGCUCUUAAAUCAGAGAAGAAAGUCCUGAAUUCAUAAAGUUAUGGCUUUAAAUGUUGCAUGCAUUGCAAACAAAUGAUAUUUAUUACAAAUAUUGAAAAAUAUUUUUGAUACGUUUACCUGAGAUGCAAAUGUAAAAUGAAGUCUUGAAAAAUAUAAUAAAAU